rnacentral:rRNA from 1 species
AGCAGCCGCGGUAAUUCCAGCUCCAAUAGCGUAUAUUAAAGUUGUUGCAGUUAAAAAGCUCGUAGUUGAAUUUCGGGGUCAGUAGGUCGGUCGUGCCACUGGUAUGAACUGGUUUCACUGAUUCCUCCCUCUUGUAGAACCGUGAUGCCAUUAAUUUGGUGUUGCGGGGAAACAGGACUGUUACUUUGAAAAAAUUAGAGUGUUUAAGGCAAGCUAACGCUUGAAUACAUUAGCAUGGAAUAAUGAAAUAGGACGUCUGUCUUAUUUUGUUGGUUUCUAGGAUGGACGUAAUGAUUAAUGGGGAUAGUUGGGGGCAUUAGUAUUCAAUUGUCAGAGGUGAAAUUCUUGGAUUUAUUGAAGACUAACUACUGCGAAAGCAUUUGCCAAGGAUGUUUUCAUUAAUCAAGAACGAAAGUUAGGGGAUCGAAGACGAUCAGAUACCGUCGUAGUCUUAACCAUAAACUAUGCCGACUAGGGAUCGGAUGAUGUUAAUUUUUUAAUGACUCAUUCGGCGCCUUACG